AUUUAAUCGUUGGUCUGCGGGGGAUACUGCUCGGCUAGGGGACGAGAGAGGCCGACGGUAUUUCCGGGGUAGGGUGAAAUCCUAUAAUCCCGGGAAGACCACCAGUGGCGAAGCUGUCGGCUAAACGCGCCCGACGGUGAGGGAUGAAAGCUGGGGGAGCGAACCGGAUUAGAUACCCGGGUAGUCCCAGCUGUAAACGAUGCAGGCUAGUGUUUGGGCGGCCACGUGCCGCUCUAUGCCGCAGGGAAGCUGUUAAGCCUGCCGCCUGGGGAGUACGAUCGCAAGAUUGAAACUUAAAGGAAUUGGCGGGGGAGCACCACAAGGGGUGAAGCUUGCGGUUUAAUUGGAGUCAACGCCGGAAAUCUCACCGGGAGCGACAGCAGGUUGAAGGCCAAUUAAAGGUCUUGCCAGACGACUGAAGGAGGUGCAUGGCCGUCGCCAUUCGUGCCGUGAGGUGUCCUGUUAAGUCAGGCAACGAUCGAGACCCGCGUCCUCUGUUGCAACCAGGUCUUGUGCUGGGCACACUGAGGAGACCGCCGCUGAUAAAGCGGAGGAAGGAGCGGGCCACGGCAGGUCAGUAUGCCCCGAAUCUCCCGGGCCAACGCGAGCUGCAAUGGCAGGUACAAUGGGUUCCGACCUUGAAAGGGGAAGGCAAUCUCGAAAGCCUGCCGUAUUGGGAUCGAGGGCUGUUAACCCCGUCAUCGUGAAACAUGGGAAUCCCUAUAAUUCGCGUGUCAACUAGCGCGCGGUGAAUACGUCC
rnacentral:rRNA from 1 species